AGGACGAACGCUGGCGGCGUGCUUAACACAUGCAAGUCGAGCGAGGCCCGUCCUUCGGGACGGUGCCCUAGCGGCGAACGGGUGAGUAACACGUGGGCAACCUGCCCCUAGCACUGGGAUAACUCCGGGAAACCGGGGCUAAUACCGGAUAUGACCUUUGAGGGCAUCCUCGAAGGUGUAAAGGAUUCUGGCUAGGGAUGGGCCCGCGGCCUAUCAGCUUGUUGGUGGGGUAACGGCCUACCAAGGCGACGACGGGUAGCCGGCCUGAGAGGGCGACCGGCCACACUGGGACUGAGACACGGCCCAGACUCCUACGGGAGGCAGCAGUGGGGAAUAUUGCACAAUGGGCGAAAGCCUGAUGCAGCGACGCCGCGUGAGGGAUGACGGCCUUCGGGUUGUAAACCUCUUUCAGCAGGGACGAAGCGAAAGUGACGGUACCUGCAGAAGAGCACGGCCAACUACGUGCCAGCAGCCGC
rnacentral:rRNA from 1 species